rnacentral:rRNA from 1 species
CCUACGGGAGGCAGCAGUGGGGAAUCUUGCGCAAUGGGCGAAAGCCUGACGCAGCAACGCCGCGUGCAGGAAGAAGGCUUUCGGGCUGUAAACCGCUUUCAGCAGGAACGAAAAUGACGGUACCUGCAGAAGAAGGAGCGGCCAACUAUGUGCCAGCAGCCGCGGUGAUACAUAGGCUUCAAGCGUUGUCCGGAUUUAUUGGGCGUAAAGAGUUCGUAGGCGGUCAAGUAAGUCGGGUGUGAAAAUUCUGGGCUCAACCCAGAGACGCCACCCGAUACUGCUUAACUUGAGUUCGAUAGGGGAGUGGGGAAUUCCUAGUGUAGCGGUGAAAUGCGCAGAUAUUAGGAGGAACACCGGUGGCGAAGGCGCCACUCUGGAUCGAUACUGACGCUGAGGAACGAAAGCAUGGGUAGCAAACAGGAUUAGAUACCCUGGUAGUCCAUGCCGUAAACGGUGGGCACUAGGUGUGGGUUUCUAUUAACGAAAUCCGCGCCGUCGCUAACGCAUUAAGUGCCCCGCCUGGGGAGUACGGUCGCAAGCUAAAACUCAAAGGAAUUGACGG